rnacentral:rRNA from 1 species
CCCUUAGAUGUUCUGGGCCGCACGCGUGCUACACUGAGUGGAUCAGCGGGUCAGGUUGCGCGAAAGCGUUUCCUAAUCUUUAAAUCCGCUCGUGAUGGGGAUUGACGGUUGCAAUUUUCUGUCAUGAACGAGGAAUACCUUGUAAGCGCGGGUCAUCAUCCCGCGCUGAAUACGUCCCUGCCCUUUGUACACACCGCCCGUCGCUCCUACCGAUUGAGUGGUCCGGUGAGCUCUUCGGACUGCGCGGUCUGCAGUUUCUGCGUUCCGUGCGGAAAGUUGCGCAAACCUUAACAUUUAGAGGAAGGAGAAGUCGUAACA